GCACAAACCUAUUAUAUCCUUUCUGAAGGGAAGGAAGGAGGCGCUUUCUGCUUAUAACCUCCACAUGCGUACCCGUAUCUUCUCCGGCUCCUACAGGAAGAAAGAAAAGCGCAGAUCCCAAGACCCAAAGGAGCACACCGUCCCUCUCCUGUUGCGUUCCAUAGCUGUUCCUUUCUCAGCACCGGUCACCCCCUGCUUGUUAAUCGUUCGCCAUAGGAGUAUUUCCUCUACCUCCGUUGUUCCACAAAGGAAGCAGAAGAACAAUGAGAGCGUCUGCUGUCUCGAUGCAGCUCGCUCUCUUCCUCGUCUCCGUCGCCUCCCUGGCGGCUUCCCUUGCCGACGGAGUCACCCCGCAGAUCUACUCCGACGAGCAACAACCUCUCACCGCCAGUGAGUUCGGCUCGACUACUGUCCCGGCCUUCCCGUUGGCUCGGACGGACAACCACAGCGCGUGCCGACUCGACCUCUCUGACGAGCUCUUUGGCGGAGUCGGGGACGCCUGUGUCCGCGGCGGCCUCGACCGGAGCCGCUGCUGCCCCGUGCUCGCCGCCUGGCUCUUCGCGGCGCAUGCCCGUUCCGCCCUGGAGAUCCGCCCGCCGCCUGCGGCGGAGGACGGGCUGGGUGGCGCGGACGGGCCGAUGAUGCCGGACGACAACCAGAAGUGCGUGGACUCGCUGCAGAGCGCGCUGGAGCGGCGUGACAUCCGCCUGCCGCGGCCCAACGCCACCUGCGACACCGUGCUUUGCUACUGCGGCAUCCGCCUCCACCAGAUCGGGUCGCUCCGCUGUCCAACCGCCUUCAACGUCAGCGGCGGCGCCACCGUCGCCCGUAACGUCACGCCGACGGCAUCUGUUCGGCAGCUCGAGCGCGACUGCCGGAAUGCUUCCUACGCUGGCUGCAAUCGCUGCCUCCACUCGCUGGAGAAGCUGAAGGAGACUGGUGGCGGUGUUGGGGGCGACAACGGGGAUCGCGCGACGAAGAUGCUGGGGCGGGACUGCCAGCUGAUGGGUCUGACGUGGCUGCUGGCGAGGAACAAGACGGCGUACAUCCCCACCGUGUCAGCCGUCCUGCGUGCCGUGCUCUACAGCGCCCACCCACCGCAGGCCGAUGGCAGUGGAGGAGGGUCCGGCUACAAGUGCAGCCCGGACCAGGAGAACAUGCCCCUCGCCGUCGACUCCCUCCAAUUCCCGCACCAACCUGACUCCGCCGCCGCCGCCGCCACUUAUCGUUCCGCCUCCCCUUCCGCCCUCGCGCUUUCCUCCAUCGUGCUGCCCAUCCUGCUGCUCUCUCGUCUUCCCCUGCUGUAGGUCGUCGCCGUUGGAAUACAAGAGCGUAUCACUGGCGUGCCCUGUUUUUUUGCGUUUUGUCCGCUAACUAUUUUCCAGAGGACGGCGGUCAGUGCAGUCAACAAUCAUACAUAAACUGUAAUGUGUGGUGCCGAGCAAACCAAAAUUGGCGAUUGGGUGAGGUUGAUGUUAGAAUAUGACGUUGUCAGAGAGCAUUCAUGGUGGUGGAAUCGGCUGCGUAUACCAUGCGUGAAUUGACACGAACCAGAUACUGGUGCUGCUACGUUGAUCUCUCUGCAACUUGGCAGAAAUCGAACCGCGGAGUGUUGUCGUGGACGUGUUAUGGGGCUACGAGGGCGCCGGCUUCGUCAGCCACCGCGGGCAACGUCUCAGCCGUCUCCCGUAGCAUCCGCACGACACGAAGCGUUCAUUCUCGUCUUUUCUUAACGGCUGCUCCCUUUCCAUUGGCAAUUACCGCUUAAACUCGAGGUUUUCAUUUCAUUUUACCAAAUAUUGGGGCUUAUUUUAUAAACAUUUAUUUUUCAAAUUUGAAAUAUGAUAUUAAUAUGCCAAA